rnacentral:rRNA from 1 species
UACGUAGGGGGCAAGCGUUGUCCGGAAUCAUUGGGCGUAAAGCGCGUGUAGGCGGCUGACUAAGUCCGCUCUGAAAGCCCGGGGCUCAACCCCGGGAGGCGGGUGGAUACUGGUCAGCUCGAGUCCGGAAGAGGAGUGUGGAAUUCCUGGUGUAGCGGUGAAAUGCGCAGAUAUCAGGAGGAACACCAAUGGCGAAGGCAGCACUCUGGGACGGUACUGACGCUGAGACGCGAAAAGCGUGGGGAGCAAACAGG